CAGCAGCCGCGGUAAUACGGAGGGGGCUAGCGUUGUUCGGAAUUACUGGGCGUAAAGCGCACGUAGGCGGCUUGGUAAGUUAGAGGUGAAAGCCCGGAGCUCAACUCCGGAAUUGCCUUUAAGACUGCCGAGCUAGUAGGUGAGAGAGGUAAGUGGAAUUCCGAGUGUAGAGGUGAAAUUCGUAGAUAUUCGGAAGAACACCAGUGGCGAAGGCGGCUUACUGGCUCAUUCUAGACGCUGAGGUGCGAAAGCGUGGGGAGCAAACAGGAUUAGAGACCCCCGUAGUCCCUGUCUCUUAUAC
rnacentral:rRNA from 1 species